UGCUUGCUCUUUUUUGUUUCUUACAAUGAGUUAGCAUGACCUAUGUUCUUAUCUCAAAUAAUUCAGUGAAUGUUUUAAAUUACAGCCAAUGCUUAUAGGUGAUGUUAAUUCAUUUCUUGAUGAAGUUUCCAUAGCAUUCCGCACUAAUGCACUCUUGGCAGUCUGCAUGGCACUAUUUAUCAGAUCAGCCUGCUGUCAAUGUUUGUGCUGAUGGUGUUUAACGUACUACUUGAUGAAGCUUCUGUACACAUAAUGACAACGUUGCUAUUAUGAGGUACUACAAUGGUUCAAA